CCCAAUUACAUCAUGUGUCUCCCUCUUCUCUACUGUGUGGUCAUUUUUCUUCUGAAAACAGAAUCGGUGCAUGCUAAAAUCACUCAGAUCCCAAGACAUCUCAUCACAGAGAAGGGACAGGAGGUGAAAAUGAGAUGUGAACAUGACACUCAGGAUACUCGCAUGUUUUGGUAUCAACAAAAGCCAGAGAGCAAGGACAAAGGUCUUGUGCUGGUUCUUUACUCUGUGGGAAAGAAUAACACAGAGAAUGGUGAUGAUCCUCAAGGAUUUAAAGCCCAGAGACCAGAAAUCAAAAUUUUUAUUCUCAGCAAAUCAUCUGCAGAACCCAGGAACUCUGGAAUGUAUUUCUGCAGUUCUGAUCACAGUGAUAAAAGGGCAUCUAAUUUCUUUACACAAAACCCCUUUCUUUAA